CUCCAUAUUGAAAAUGGAAAGUCUGACCUUUACCAACUUGAGCUAUUUGGAGAAUAAAGGCCACACUCUACAGUGGGCUAUAUGCCACUUAGUACAAUUCACUACUAUUUUGUGGCCUACAUU
ensembl:snoRNA